UGGGAGUUCGAGGCUUCAAUGAGCCCA
rnacentral:piRNA from 1 species